rnacentral:rRNA from 1 species
UAGGGAAUCUUCGGCAAUGGACGAAAGUCUGACCGAGCAACGCUGCGUGAGUGAAGAAGGUUUUCGGAUCGUAAAACUCUGUUGGUAGAGAAGAACGUUGGUGAGAGUGGAAAGCUCAUCAAGUGACGGUAACUACCCAGAAAGGGACGGCUAACUACGUGCCAG